CUUAGACUAAGACGUCGUUGCGCGAAACUUCAAGUACCCGCGAAUCUCUGGUAUGUGUCUUUUGGUGAGUUUUAAUUUGCGUCCGUAGUCCUCAUAAUGGUGUUUUGUGCAGUUUAUAAUUGAAGGAAUGGCCACAAGAGUUCUUUAAGAGAGAGUAGAGUAACAUUCCACAGUGCCGCGUGUAUGCUGUUUAGAAAGUACAUCUGCGUUUGUUCCUCGAGUUUUUAUGUGUUGCUAAUCAUCAUUAAACCUAACGGUGGUUUGGGAGCUUCAUGCCCCCUGAUCUGGACGUUUAUUUUGCGCAAAAUCGCAAAUGGUCGAGAAGCCUCUUUGCGCAACUUGCUGGACAUCUGUACAAAGAAAGCUCCCUUCUCCACCCACUGAGUACAGAUGUUCCGCCAGAAAGAUGGCGUUGCCAGGGGCUCUCCUCUGGAGUACUCUUUGUCAACUUCUAUAUGGGCACCGUGGAAGAUAGUCUUGGCCCAGAGCAAAUAUCCCCGCAAAUACGCCCGUUACGUAGACGAUAUCUUCGUGCAAGUCGACACUGAGGACGAGGUAGAAGCCCUUCGUCGCCAAUUCCAGCAAUGCAGCGUGUAAACUACACAGUCGAAUUUAGCACCAACGAUCAGCUCCCCUUCCUUGACAUCCUUAUAACGAAGACAGAAGAUGGUCCCUGCACUUCUGUCUACAUGAAGAAGACAAAUUUAGGCCCUUUCUGAAAAGGGCCUUCCCCCAUUGUUCUGCCAGGCAGGACACACACCUCGAGCUUGGUAGAGCUUCACAGAUGCUCGUGAACAACCGAUAUCCUAAUAAACUCAUCAACCAAGAAGUGCGCACUGCCCUCGAAAAAUGGUGCUCAAAUGAGGAAGGAGAUUCACGACCCCGCCCCACCGAGAACAUCAAGAUAUAAGGCCUUCAUGCACACUCAGUACCGCGAGGAGGAGAACUCGAUGAAGAAGAUCAUCCAGGAGAACAUCCUCCCCAUUGAAGAAGGCAAGAUGGUGGACCUUAAAUAUACUACAAAAACAGGGAAACAAGAGAUCUAAUAAUGAAAAAUAACUCCUCACCGCCAUCAGGAGACCCCCUCAUGCAGAAGAACGUAGUAUACCAAUACAUAUGCCCCACCCGAGGAUGUCCUGGGAAGUACAUUGGAAUGACUACAAUGUGCCUUGAGAAGAGAAUCUCCUGUCAUGCCCAAGAAGGGGCCAUCAAGGAUCACGCCCUCACCACCCACCGAGACACAAUCUCCUGCGACUGUAUUAUCCGCAACACAGGAAAAUACGGAGAGCACCUAACCCUCACCAUCUGCGCCUUCUGGAGGCGUUACUCAUCCAGGAGCAAAAGCCCUCCAUGAAUACGACACAGGAGGCCUUUUUGCUCCUGACCUGUGUGUGAAGAAACGUACCAGUAAAGGCAAACACCACCAUAUCGCUGCACGGAGACACUCCAAUUCAAGAGGAAAAUAACACCGAAGACUGCUUUAAUACCAUGAGUAAUAUCAGCUGUGACGUCACACAGCUAUUGAACAAUCGAAAUAAUGACCGACGUUAUGCCAUGCAGCUGAGAAGAUUGGCACACCUGUUGAGCAUGCCAGGCAGCCAAUCAUAAAGCAGCUCGCCAUUCAUUAGCCAAUGAAAAAGCAUGAAGUCCCUAUUACACCACUACUACUGAAGCAGACGGACUCACCCUCUCACUUCAGUCCAUCACCUACCUCCGCAUGAGAGGAUGUCUGGAGUCUCAGACGAAACAUCGCUGCCCCACAAUAGGAAUAGAAUAGAAUUUUACCUGUAAUGAACUCUACGGGAUAUACACUGAGAAUUUGACUACUGCCACCGGCAUUUUUAAUAAAAUUAAAUAGACUUUGACUAUUACCUAUUUGAGACAUGCCAACCUUUGGUGCGUUGCUCACCAGUUUAAGCAACAAUGAGAAAAUAAUUAGAAAAAUAGAGAAGAACCUUUAUAAAAUUAACGCAGCUG